CGAUCUCAUACGAUCACCGAAGUUAAGCAACGUCGAGCUUUGUCAGUACCUCGAUGGGUGACCGCUUGGAAAUACCAGAUGCUGUAA